rnacentral:rRNA from 1 species
CCUACGGGAGGCAGCAGUGAGGAAUAUUGGUCAAUGGGCGGGAGCCUGAACCAGCCAAGUCACGUGAGGGAAGACGGUCCUAUGGAUUGUAAACCUCUUUAGGCGGGGAGCAAUGCCGGGCACGCGUGCCCGGAGGGAGAGUACCCGCAGAAUAAGCAUCGGCUAACUCCGUGCCAGCAGCCGCGGUAAUACGGAGGAUGCGAGCUUUAUCCGGAUUUAUUGGGUUUAAAGGGUGCGUAGGCGGAUGUUUAAGUCAGCGGUAAAAUGUCCGGGCUCAACCCGGGCCGGCCGUUGAAACUGGGGGUCUUGAGUGGGCGAGAAGUAUGCGGAAUGCGUGGUGUAGCGGUGAAAUGCAUAGAUAUCACGCAGAACUCCGAUUGCGAAGGCAGCAUACCGGCGCCCGACUGACGCUGAGGCACGAAAGCGUGGGGAUCGAACAGGAUUAGAUACCCUAGUAGUC